GGUCAAGCUACUAAGGGCGUACGGUGGAUGCCUAGGCGCUAAGAGUCGAUGAAGGGCGCGGUUAACAGCGAAAUGCCACGGGGAGUCGUAAGCAGGCUUUGAUCCGUGGAUACCCGAAUGGGGCAACCCAACCGGAGUCAUAUCUGGUUAUCGUUAACUGAAUACAUAGGUUAACGAAGGCAACCCGGGGAACUGAAACAUCUAAGUACCCGGAGGAAGAGAAAGAAUAAUCGAUUCCCUGAGUAGCGGCGAGCGAAACGGGAAGAGCCCAAACCGGUCCUUCGGGAUCCGGGGUUGUAGGACCCUCUAUUAAGAAUGAUUCCUUAGCUGAACAGAACUGGAAAGUUCGGGCAGAGAAGGUAACACCCCUGUAAA
rnacentral:ncRNA from 1 species